GCAAGGAAAGGACUUGAAAAGGCAGAAUGGAGAUAAAUGAAUGAAAGUAAUUUUAUGAGGAAUGGCCACGCGUUGUGCUAGACCUGACUGAAAUCCUUCUCCGGAGUUCAGGCGAGAGGAGCCGGGAACACAGAUCGUGAGGAGUUAUUUGUCCCUGAAGCCUGAAGAUAGAAAGGCAAAGGCAGCACCUGAAAGUGUUCAGGGACUAUUGGGUUUCAAAGCCCUUGGUUAUCUUCAGUCCCUGCGCUGUCUGGCUGUGAAUUACUGCUGGCCAAAGAUUUAGCAUCCCUCCAUUUGCAUGACAGGAACCAGACAGGCUCCAAAUCAUCGGAGACAGAGCUGGCCAAGCUGAGACAACCCUGUGAAGGUCAUCAGGAGUCUGCUGGAAGUGUCUGCACAGGGGGUUGGGGCAGAUGGCCUGGAGCCCAACCCAUCUGUGCUAACAGCAGCUCGAACACACCCAGUCCCUCCUGCAGGAGUGUGGCAGCAGCAGAACAGGUAUUUCUGGUGGAGGAAAUGGUUUGCUGGCUGCACCAGGCUUUUCCUGAGGGGUUGGUAAUGUUUUCCAAGAGUUGGUGUGGGAUGGCUCUGCAGGAGAUGCUGGGUGAGGAACAGCCCAGAAAACAACCUCAGUCUCUCCAUCCAUCAUCCUGGAUGUAAACAUCCAUCUGAUUCCUCCCUGUGUGUCCUGGGAGCUGUGGUUUCCCUUUGCAGUCCCCAGGGGAGGUGUCUGCAGGGGAUGGGGAGCAGGGGGAAUGUGCAGGGCUCUCCAAAGGUCAGCGAUGAAGGACUGACAGAGCACGGACACUUCUCCCUCCUUGGUGAUGCUCAGGGUGGAAUCACGGGAUUGUUAAGGUUGGAAGAGGUCUCCAAACCCAUGGAGUCCAAGCAUUAACCCAGCACUGCCUGCUCACCACUCACCCAUGUCCCUCAGCACAUUUUUGGAGCUCUUGCAGAGAUGGUGAUUCCCAUGCCUGACAACACUUUCCAUGAAGAAAUUGUUCCUAGUAUUGAAAUAAACUUUCCCUGGUGCAACUUGGAGCCUUUUCC
rnacentral:lncRNA from 1 species